rnacentral:rRNA from 1 species
AUGAGAUCCACCAAGACGUACCUGCCGGAGCUGACUCGUCAUGGCCUGUUGCAGCCGUAUGUGCUGCAGGCUGCAUCACUCCCUUGCCGUCCACCCGUCCCGCUGUUCGGUCCUCUCCAGCGGAGACUAAGGCGAGAGCACAACUUCGACGACGGCGAACAGGCGGAGAUUCAGCCUGCCCAUGUAAGCAACCAGCCACCGCUGCAGCAGUCCACUGUUGCCCGCGCGGCGCCUCAAUGCUGCUUCACUGACAGCCAGCGUACGGCGCUGCUCCUGGCCGGAACCAACUUCAUCCUCGUCGUCGCCAUGCUGAAGCAGCUAGUUUAG